rnacentral:misc_RNA from 1 species
GGGAUACUUGUUGAAUCCCUUUUCAAUGCUUUUGCAACUGCUGCAUUCUUCAAGUUUGUUGUGUUCUCGAUCUUUGAGAUGAGAUAUCUACUUGCUAUAUGGAAGGCAAAUAGGCCCAUGAAUAGCGUAGAGGGUUGGGAAGCAAUGAGGCGUGAAUUGUCAGUACUUUACAGCCGUUUCUAUGGGAUCCUUUUAGGCGGACUGUUGUUCAUGUAUGAGUUUCACAAGUUUCUGCGCCCUAUUCUUCUACUUUUACACUCAUUCUGGUUACCUCAAAUUGUAACUAAUGUCAUUCGUGACUCAAGAAAACCAUUGCACCCUCAUUACAUCUUGG